UGCAACCCGACUCCGUGAAGCUGGAUUCGCUAGUAAUCGCGCAUCAGCCAUGGCGCGGUGAAUACGUUCCCGGGCCUUGUACACACCGCCCGUCAAGCCAUGGAAGCCGGGGGCGCUUGAAGUGCGUUGCCGCAAGGCGCGCCCUAGAGCGAAACCGGUGACUGGGGCUAAGUCGUAACAAGGUAUC
rnacentral:rRNA from 1 species